rnacentral:rRNA from 1 species
CGCUGGCGGCACGCCUAACACAUGCAAGUCGAACGAAGUAGCAAUACUUAGUGGCAGACGGGUGAGUAACAUGUAGGUAUCUGCCCUUUGGCCUGGAAUAACACGAGGAAACUUGUGCUAAUACCGGAUAAGUCUUUACGGAGAAAGCUUUAUGCACCAUUGGAUGAGCCUGCACUUGAUUAGUUUGUUGGUGGGGUAAUGGCCUACCAAGACUGUGAUCAAUAGCUGAUUUGAGAGGAUGAUCAGCCACAUUGGGACUGAGACACGGCCCAAACUCCUACGGGAGGCAGCAGUGGGGAAUCUUGCACAAUGGAGGAAACUCUGAUGCAGCGAUGCCGCGUGAGUGAAGAAGGCCCUUGGGUUGUAAAGCUCUUUCGUCGGGGAAGAAAAUGACUGUACCCGAAUAAGAAGGUCCGGCUAACUUCGUGCCAGCAGCCGCGGUAAUACGAAGGGACCUAGCGUAGUUCGGAAUUACUGGGCUUAAAGAGUUCGUAGGUGGUUGAAAAAGUUAGUGGUGAAAUCCCAGAGCUUAACUCUGGAACUGCCAUUAAAACUUUUCAGCUAGAGUAUGAUAGAGGAAAGCAGAAUUUCUAGUGUAGAGGUGAAAUUCGUAGAUAUUAGAAAGAAUACCAAUUGCGAAGGCAGCUUUCUGGAUCAUUACUGACGCUGAGGAACGAAAGCAUGGGUAGCGAAGAGGAUUAGAUACCCUCGUAGUCCAUGCCGUAAACGAUGUGUGUUAGACGUUGGAAAUUUAUUUUCAGUGUCGCAGGGAAACCGAUAAACACACCGCCUGGGGAGUACGACC